rnacentral:rRNA from 1 species
GACGAACGCUGGCGGCGUGCUUAACACAUGCAAGUCGAACGGUGAAGGGGUCUGCUUUUGUGGGCCCUGGAUGAGUGGCGAACGGGUGAGUACCACGUGAGUAACCUGCCCCCUUCUUCUGGAUAACCGCAUGAAAGUGUGGCUAAUACGGGAUAUUCUGGGUCUGUCGCAUGAUGGGUCUGGGAAAGAUUGCGCCUUUGGGUGUUUUUGGUGGGGGAUGGGCUCGCGGCCUAUCAGCUUGUUGGUGGGGUGAUGGCCUACCAAGGCGGUGACGGGUAGCCGGCCUGAGAGGGUGGACGGUCACACUGGGACUGAGACACGGCCCAGACUCCUACGGGAGGCAGCAGUGGGGAAUAUUGCACAAUGGGCGCAAGCCUGAUGCAGCGACGCCGCGUGAGGGAUGGAGGCCUUCGGGUUGUAAACCUCUUUCGCCAGUGAAGCAGGCCUGCUCCUUGUGGGUGGGUUGACGGUAGCUGGAUAAGAAGCGCCGGCUAACUACGUG